GACGAACGCUGGCGGCGUGCUUAACACAUGCAAGUCGAACGAUGAAUCCGGAGCUUGCUCCGGUGGAUUAGUGGCGAACGGGUGAGUAACACGUGAGUAACCUGCCCUUGACUCUGGGAUAACUGCGGGAAACUGUAGCUAAUACCGGAUACGACCCUCGGCGGCAUCGCCAGGGGGUGGAAAGAAUUUCGGUCAAGGAUGGACUCGCGGCCUAUCAGCUAGUUGGUGAGGUAACGGCUCACCAAGGCGACGACGGGUAGCCGGCCUGGGAGGGUGACCGGCCACACUGGGACUGAGACAAGGCCCAGACUCCUACGGGAGGCAGCAGUGGGGAAUAUUGCACAAUGGGGGCAAGGCUGAUGCAGCAACGCCGCGUGAGGGAUGACGGCCUUCGGGUUGUAAACCUCUUUUAGUAGGGAAGAAGCGAAAGUGACGGUACCUGCAGAAAAAGCACCGGCUAACUACGUGCCAGCAGCCGCCGUAA
rnacentral:rRNA from 1 species